GGAGGCGUGGCUGAGUGGCCGAAAGCGGCAGGUUGCUAACUUGUUAGGGAGGUAAAACUCCCUCGAAGGUUCGAAUCCUUCCGCCUCCG
rfam:Candidatus Colwellbacteria bacterium RIFCSPLOWO2_01_FTLL_48_10 rifcsplowo2_01_scaffold_2767, whole genome shotgun sequence.